UUCUUCCGUGUCUUAGUUCUGUCAUUAACCAGCUGUAGGGCACCGACAUUUCGAAUCCUCCCUUUUGGGAGGAUUCCUCAGAAAAACGAGUCGAUUACUCUGUGGUUAUCAGUGUCCCUUCCAGCUCCAGCAUUCUGCACCACAUUUAUGCAGUGUUGACUGAGUUCUAAUGAUUUGUUCACUCAGCAAAUGUUCAUCGAGCAACUGCUACCUGCGAGAUACCCUGGAGAGCAGGUGGUCAGCAAGCAGACUUCCUCUACUAGACAAGUGGCGGCAUGCAGCAUCCUUUAUCAGAAGGAAAGGGCCCCUCCUUGGCAUUGCCAAUCUCCUCGCUGUGUCCUUGGACAGUGCCCAGAUUGCCCCGAGGCUGAGUCCUCAUUUGUUACAAGGUUGCGGUAAGGCCUGCCUUUUCAAGUUGUGAAGAUUAAGUUCUACAAGAGCUUACCCAAUAAUACAGAAUGGAACGCAUGUUCCUUGCCUUACUAUCCCUACUAGGCAACAGCUACCGAAAGCUGCUCUCCCCGGGGCAAAACCUUGAAGUUGCCUGGAGAAGAGGAAAGUGAUCAUACGGAUUUGUUUUUAGGACGGUGGCAGAGGACAAAUGUGUGAAAGACUAAGGUUUGUUUGGCAGUAUGAAGAGGGCCUGUUCCCCCACAGCUUUUCCAACAGAGAACAUAGUCCAGCUUUGAACCAGAACCAAUAUGACAGUAGACAGAUGACAAUUCUCAAUGUCCUGGCUGAAAGGGUUCUUGAUGGCAAGGAUCUGGAAGAAAAAAAGCAUGAGGAUUUGAGAUGAGUUAAUGAUGCAGACGGAUGGUAUGUUUAAUAGGAGAGUGGAAAGAAUCCAGUUAAGUUAGAGGCAAAGAAACCAGAGUUCAGACUGCACAUCUGCCCUUCACUAGCCAUGGGAUCCUGACAAAAUUACAAUAUUUAAUCCUCUCCAAAGAGUAGCUUCCUCAUCUGUAAAAGGGCAGUGACAUCCCUGUAUCUCUCUCAUGUAUCCUGUGAGAAUUAAGUGGAAUAAAGGACGUAACUCGUCUCACACACAGGGCUCUCUCAGCUCUCUCUUUGGAUCCACUAUGGUGCUACGGACAAGCAGCAAGAGCAACAUCAGGGAAGUGGGUCACAGGGCUUCUCACAUCUUCAGAAGGAUGUGGUUUGUCUUCAAUGUGAUGCGAUCUCUAUGGAUUAUUUUCACUCACAAAAACUAAAAGAUGUGCUUGCUGCUGCUAAGUCACUUCAGUCGUGUCCAAUUCUGUGCGACCCCAUAGACGGCAGC